AUCGCUUCUCGGCCUUUUGGCUAAGAUCAAGUGUAGUAUCUGUUCUUAUCAGUUUAAUAUCUGAUACGCCCCGAUUCGGGGGCAACGUAUUAAACGCAUUUUUAGAACAGGGAGCUGAAUAAGGGGCUCGCUCCGUUCGCUCCACGCAUCGACCCGGUAUUGCAGCGCCUCCGGGAACGGUGCCCCCUUU
ensembl:snRNA U2 U2 spliceosomal RNA